GGGGCUGAUUCUGGAUUCGACGGGAUUUGCGAAACCCAAGGUGCAUGCCGAGGGGCGGUUGGCCUCGUAAAAAGCCGCAAAAAAUAGUCGCAAACGACGAAAACUACGCUUUAGCAGCUUAAUAACCUGCUUAGAGCCCUCUCUCCCUAGCCUCCGCUCUUAGGACGGGGAUCAAGAGAGGUCAAACCCAAAAGAGAUCGCGUGGAAGCCCUGCCUGGGGUUGAAGCGUUAAAACUUAAUCAGGCUAGUUUGUUAGUGGCGUGUCCGUCCGCCGCUGGCAAGCGAAUGUAAAGACUGACUAAGCAUGUAGUACCGAGGAUGUAGGAAUUUCGGACGCGGGUUCAACUCCCGCCAGCUCCACCA
rnacentral:tmRNA from 1 species